rnacentral:rRNA from 1 species
GUGUCAGCAGCCGCGGUAAUACAGAGGGUGCAAGCGUUGUUCGGAAUUAUUGGGCGUAAAGCGCGUGUAGGCGGCUUGUUAAGUCGGGUGUGAAAGCCCUCAGCUCAACUGAGGAAGGGCGCCCGAAACUGGCGAGCUUGAGUGUCGGAGAGGAUGGCGGAAUACCCCAAGUAGAGGUGAAAUUCGUAGAUAUGGGGUGGAACACCGGUGGCGAAGGCGGCCAUCUGGACGACAACUGACGCUGAGACGCGAAAGCGUGGGGAGCAAACAGGAUUAGAUACCCUGGUAGUCCACGCCGUAAACGAUGAGAACUAGGUGUCGUGGGUGUUGACCCCUGCGGUGCCGUAGCUAACGCAUUAAGUUCUCCGCCUGGGAAGUACGGUCGCAAGACUAAA